UACGAAGGGGGCUAGCGUUGCUCGGAAUCACUGGGCGUAAAGGGCGCGUAGGCGGACUCUUAAGUCGGGGGUGAAAGCCCAGGGCUCAACCCUGGAAUUGCCUUCGAUACUGAGAGUCUUGAGUUCGGAAGAGGUUGGUGGAACUGCGAGUGUAGAGGUGAAAAUUCGUAGAUAUUCGCAAGAACACCAGUGGCGAAGGCGGCUCACUGGCUCGGUACUGACGCUGAGGUGCGAAAGCGUGGGGAGCAAACAGGG
rnacentral:rRNA from 1 species